GCCCGCCUAGCUCAAUCGGAUAGAGCGUCAGACUCUUAGGCGGGUUCUUACAAUCUGAAGGCUGCGAGUUCGACCCUCGCGGUGGGCU
rnacentral:tRNA from 1 species